GUGUUUCCCUGUCCAGGUGUUUUAGGCAUGGUUUUGCUGUGUUUUUUGUGUGUUUUAGGCAUGACUUUGGUGUGUUCUUGCCGUGGUUUUUGUGCAUUCCUGCCGUGUUUUUUGCAUGUUUCUGCCAUGUUUUUUGCAUGAUUUUGCCGUGUCCCUGCUGUGUUCCUGCCCUGUUUUUGCCAUGGUUUUUAACAUGUUUCUGCCAUGUUUUUGGUGUGUCUUUGCAUGUUUUUGUCCGUGUUUUUCCUGUGUUCCUGCCCUGUUCCUGCCCUGGUUUUGCCUUGUUUUUGCAUGUUUUUGUCCAUGUUUUUGCUGUGUUCCUGCCAUGUUCCUGCCGUGUUUUUCCCCUGUUUUUGGUGUGGUUUUGCCAUGUUCCUGCAGUGUUUUUGUCCAUGUUUUUGCCGUGUUCCUGCCCUGUUUUCGCCAUGUAUUUUGUGUAUUUUUGGUGUGUUCCUGCCGUGGUUUUUUGCAUGUUUUUAUCCAUGUUCUUGCCAUGUUCCUGCCAUGUUUUUGCUGCUGUUUUGGUGUGUUUUUGUCCUGGUCCUGCUGCGUUUUUGCCGUAUUUUUGUCCAUGUUUUUGCCGUGUUCCUGCCCUGUUUUUGUCCAUGUUUGUGCCAUGUCCCUGCCGUGGUUUUGCUGUGGUUUAGGUGUUUUUGCCAUGUUCCUGCUGUGGUUUUGCCAUGGUUUUGGUGUGUUUUUUGUGUGUUCCUGCCCUGUUUUGUCCAUGUUUGUGCCAUGUCCCUGCCGUGUCCCUGCCAUGUUUUUGCCGUGUUCCUGCCGUGUUCCUGCCCUGUUUGUGUCCGUGUUUUUGCCAUGUCCCUGCCGUGUUUGUGCCGUGUCCCUGCUGUGUUUUUGCCGUGUCCCUGCCAUGUUUUUGCCGUGUUCCUGCCGUGUUCCUGCCCUGUUUGUGUCCGUGUUUUUGCCGUGUCCCUGCUGUGUAUUUGCCAUGUCCCUGCCGUGUUUGUGCCGUGUCCCUGCCGUGUUCCUGCUCUGGUUUUGUCCAUGUUUGUGCCGUGUCCCUGCCAUGUUUUUGCCGUGUUCCUGCCCUGUUUGUGUCUGUGUUUGUGCCAUGUCCCUGCCGUGUUUGUGCCGUGUUUGUGCCGUGUCCCUGCCGUGUCUGUGCCGUGUCCCUGCCGUGUUCCUGACGUGUUCCUGCCCUGGUUUUGUCCAUGUUUGUGCCGUGUCCCUGCCGUGUUUGUGCCGUGUUCCUUCCCUGUUUGUGCCGUGUUUUUGCCAUGUCCCUGCUGUGUUCCUGCCAUGUCCUUCCCUGUUUGUGUCCGUGUCUGUGCCGUGUCCCUGCCGUGUCUGUGCCGUGUCCCUGCCGUGUUCCCGUGCCGUGUCCCGGUGCCGGUGCCGUGCCCGGCCGUUCCCUCGGGCGGCUCCGCCGGCGGCUGCAAAGCAAAGCUGGGGGAGGGGCCGGGGGGUUCCGGGGGUCCCGCGACGGCGCCUGGGGAGAGAC
ensembl:lncRNA